rnacentral:rRNA from 1 species
UAGGGAAUCUUCCACAAUGGGCGAAAGCCUGUUGGAGCAACGCCGCGUGUGUGAUGAAGGGUUUCGGCUCGUAAAACACUGUUGUAAGAGAAGAAUGACAUUGAGAGUAACUGUUCAAUGUGUGACGGUAUCUUACCAGAAAGGAACGGCUAAAUACGUGCAAG